rnacentral:rRNA from 1 species
GCUUGCUAUCAGGCGUCGAGCGGCGGACGGGUGAGUAAUACUUAGGAAUCUACCUAGUAGUGGGGGAUAGCACGGGGAAACUCGUAUUAAUACCGCAUACGACCUACGGGAGAAAGGGGGCAGUUUACUGCUCUCGCUAUUAGAUGAGCCUAAGUCGGAUUAGCUAGAUGGUGGGGUAAAGGCCUACCAUGGCGACGAUCUGUAGCUGGUCUGAGAGGAUGAUCAGCCACACCGGGACUGAGACACGGCCCGGACUCCUACGGGAGGCAGCAGUGGGGAAUAUUGGACAAUGGGGGAAACCCUGAUCCAGCCAUGCCGCGUGUGUGAAGAAGGCCUUUUGGUUGUAAAGCACUUUAAGCAGUGAAGAAGACUCCGUGGUUAAUACCCACGGACGAUGACAUUAGCUGCAGAAUAAGCACCGGCUAACUCUGUGCCAGCAGCCGCGGUAAUACAGAGGGUGCAAGCGUUAAUCGGAAUUACUGGGCGUAAAGGGAGCGUAGGUGGCUCGAUAAGUCAGAUGUGAAAUCCCCGGGCUCAACCUGGGAACUGCAUCUGAUACUGUUGAGCUAGAGUAUGUGAGAGGAAGGUAGAAUUCCAGGUG